CCUGACUGUCCCAGCCGCUGGAGAGAGCCCAGUGCUGGUAGCCUUCUACCGGGAUAAGCGCGUCGUGACGCGGCUCCGGGUGCCCGCUGAUCCCAGGCACCACAGACACGUCCAGGUAGCCGGGCAUCGCCUGUCUUCCGACUUUUCUAUCGAGGCACCCCUUUCCAGAGAGCAUCUCCGUGGGGUUGAGCCAAGUUCCCUUUCAGCACAGGGCCUCCCUGAGGGGAAGAGGUAAUAAAAAGAAAGGACAAAAGUGGGGGAGAGGGGCUGCAGCAUCUCCCUUUCCUGCCUCUGCCGAAAAUUUUAAAUGCUGGGCGCUCCUGUCCAGACAGCGCACAGGCCGUGGCCAGGCCAUAACCUCGGGCUAAGCCAAACCCACUGGAUCCCUCCAACUCCAGAGCAAAUGACCAGGGGUGCUUUGCGGCCAAAAUUUAGCUAGGAGUGGAAAGAAGAGGAAAAGUUGCCUUCCUCGAGAAGACCAGCCGAAGAAGACGUAGGCCCCCCAGAGACCUGAGAGAGUGGGAAGGCUGGAGGGGAAAAUUCAGGAUUCAGGGCGUUGAAAGCGCUGGGGAAGCCUCCGCAUCCUCUGAAAGAUUCCCCACUCUUUCGCUGGGUUCCCCAAGAUCUUCCGCGCCUGAAACUGUGGGCUCCAAGACUGGGGCGCCCCCGGAGCAGGGAGGAAGGUGGCGAGGAGAGAGCCUGAGGGCGGGCAGCUCAAAGUAGAGCCUUGUUGGUUAAUUAACUUUAAGCCUGAGGUCGCUUCUCCCUCCUCCCCCGAAAAAAAAAAAAGAAAAAAGGUGGAUCUCACUGAGACACAAAUAAAACCAAAUUAAACACUCCAAGAGAAUAUGCACUACUAGAAACGUAGUAAUUACAUCUCCAAGGCGAUGAGGCGAUCCUGCCCUAGAAAGCCAGGCGCUGAAACCCUUGGCUUCUUCGGCUUCAGCUUCGGUGCUAACCCCACACCUCUCAGCCACACCUCGCCCAGCCGGGGCUUCACGGAUGGGCCGAUGGAGUUGGACUGUGGAUCCAGUUGAGAGGAAAUCAAGAGGAAUGAAUAGAAGCGUGACCUUUCGGUCUCUAGCUGUGAUGUUGGUGUGUGGGACGGAACAUUUCAUCACACCAAAGGAAAAUGGAAAAUGGCCCUCUAGCCCCGUCGGAAAACCCGGGCUGCGCUCUCCGCUCUUUUUUUCAAAGGGACAUUUGUGAUGGCGAGCCACGGGAGCAGUUCUGCCCUCAGCUUCCUGUAUGGACUGAAUUCCCGGCUAAGUUCAACUCUGAAAUUCUUGUUUUCAAAGACUAAUAUAUAAAGGAGAUAUUCAGUAUGCCUUCUCACUGGAAGAGUGUGUGUGUGUGUGUGUGUGUGUGUGUGUGUUUGCACGGGUUACCUGCGCCCACGCCUGGCCUUGGUUUUGGGGUCAUCGGCAGGCUCCAUGCACUGUUCCAGCACAUGCCCUUGUGGAUACGGCCCAGAUGUAUUCAUGAAGAUACCCAGCCCUCACUGAAAUCCUCUCUAUGCAAAUAAAGAUCUCUGCUGGUCUGUUUAUU